rnacentral:tRNA from 1 species
UUCGGGCGUGGGCGACGUUUAUCUGGGUCCACUGGUGCUGGGCUGGCAUGGCCCGCAGUGGGACGCUGUGGCCGGUGCC